rnacentral:rRNA from 1 species
ACAACAGUUGGAAACGACUGCUAAUACCGCAUAAGCGCACAGUACCGCAUGGUACAGAGCGAAAAACUCCGGUGGUAUAGGAUGGGCCCGCGUCUGAUUAGCUAGUUGGAGGUGUAACGGACCACCAAGGCGACGAUCAGUAGCCGGCUUGAGAGAGUGAACGGCCACAUUGGGACUGAGACACGGCCCAAACUCCUACGGGAGGCAGCAGUGGGGAAUAUUGCACAAUGGGGGAAACCCUGAUGCAGCAACGCCGCGUGAGUGAAGAAGUAUUUCGGUAUGUAAAGCUCUAUCAGCAGGGAAGAAAAUGACGGUACCUGACUAAGAAGCCCCGGCUAACUACGUGCCAGCAGCCGCGGUAAUACGUAGGGGGCAAGCGUUAUCCGGAUUUACUGGGUGUAAAGGGAGCGCAGGCGGUCUGUCAAGUCUGAUGUGAAAUCCCGGGGCUCAACCCUGGAACUGCAUUGGAAACUGUCAGACUAGAGUGCCGGAGAGGUAAGUGGAAUUCCUAGUGUAGCGGUGAAAUGCGUAGAUAUUAGGAGGAACACCAGUGGCGAAGGCGGCUUACUGGACGGUAACUGACGCUGAGGCUCGAAAGCGUGGGGAGCAAACAGGAUUAGAUACCCUGGUAGUCCACGCCGU